rnacentral:rRNA from 1 species
GCGGGAAACGAAACGCGGAAGAACCUACCGGGUUGACAACAGGUGGUAGGGAUCCGAAAGGGGACCGACCUUCGGGGAGCCGACAGUGCUGCAUGGCGGUCGUCAGCUCGUGUCGUGAGAUGUCCGGUUAAGUCCGGUAACGAGCGCAACCCUUGCUGUAUGUUACAUGUGUCAUACAGGACUGCCGAUAUAAAAUCGGAGGAAGGCGGGGAUGACGUCAAGUCAGCAUGGCCUUUAUAUCCAGGGCUACACACACGCUACAAUGGUCGGUACAAUAGGUCGCAAAACCGCGAGGUGGAGCCAAUCCUUAAAGCCGAUCUCAGUUCNCAGGCUGCAACUCGCCUGCAUGAGUCGGAGUGCUAGUACCGCGCGUCAGGCAGUGUGCGGUGAA